CUUAUGAAUAUGUGCGGUUGACGCAUGUACCUCCCUGUUGGACUGGCCCCGGCAUCGCGCCGGGGUCUUUUU
rnacentral:ncRNA from 1 species